rnacentral:rRNA from 1 species
GAUGAACGCUGGCGGCGUGCCUAAUACAUGCAAGUCGAGCGAACGGACGAGAAGCUUGCUUCUCUGAUGUUAGCGGCGGACGGGUGAGUAACACGUGGAUAACCUACCUAUAAGACUGGGAUAACUUCGGGAAACCGGAGCUAAUACCGGAUAAUAUUUUGAACCGCAUGGUUCAAAAGUGAAAGACGGUCUUGCUGUCACUUAUAGAUGGAUCCGCGCUGCAUUAGCUAGUUGGUAAGGUAACGGCUUACCAAGGCAACGAUGCAUAGCCGACCUGAGAGAGUGAUAGGCCACACUGGAACUGAGACACGGUCCAGACUCCUACGGGAGGCAGCAGUAGGGAAUCUUCCGCAAUGGGCGAAAGCCUGACGGAGCAACGCCGCGUGAGUGAUGAAGGUCUUCGGAUCGUAAAACUCUGUUAUUAGGGAAGAACAUAUGUGUAAGUAACUGUGCACAUCUUGACGGUACCUAAUCAGAAAGCCACGGCCAACUACGUG